rnacentral:rRNA from 1 species
AGUGAACGCUGGCGGCGUGCUUAACACAUGCAAGUCGAACGAGAACGGAAUAUAGCUUGCUAUAUUUGUCAGCUAAGUGGCGCACGGGUGAGUAAUGUAUAGAUAACAUGCCCUUAAGAAAGGAAUAACAGUUGGAAACGACUGCUAAUGCCCUAUAUGCCUUUAAUACAUAUGUAUGCAAGGGAAACGCUUUAGUGCUUAAGGAUGGGUCUGUAUGGUAUCAGCUUGUUGGUGAGGUAAUGGCUCACCAAGGCUAUGACGCCUAACUGGUUUGAGAGGAUGAUCAGUCACACUGGAACUGAGACACGGUCCAGACUCCUACGGGAGGCAGCAGUGGGGAAUAUUGCACAAUGGACGAAAGUCUGAUGCAGCAACGCCGCGUGGAGGAUGACACAUUUCGGUGCGUAAACUCCUUUUAUAUAGGAAGAUAAUGACGGUACUAUAUGAAUAAGCACCGGCUAACUCUGUGCCAGCCGCCGCCGUAA